rnacentral:rRNA from 1 species
GACUCGUCACACUAUCAUUAACUGAAUCCAUAGGUUAAUGAGGCGAACCGGGGGAACUGAAACAUCUAAGUACCCCGAGGAAAAGAAAUCAACCGAGAUUCCCCCAGUAGCGGCGAGCGAACGGGGAGGAGCCCAGAGCCUGAAUCAGCAUGUGUGUUAGUGGAAGCGUCUGGAAAGGCGCGCGAUACAGGGUGACAGCCCCGUACACAAAAGCGCAUGUGCUGUGAGCUCGAUGAGUAGGGCGGGACACGUGGUAUCCUGUCUGAAUAUGGGGGGACCAUCCUCCAAGGCUAAAUACUCCUGACUGACCGAUAGUGAACCAGUACCGUGAGGGAAAGGCGAAAAGAACCCCGGCGAGGGGAGUGAAAAAGAACCUGAAACCGUGUACGUACAAGCAGUGGGAGCCCCACCACUAAGCCAGUGGUGAACUCCACAUACGCAUCCUUUGCUGAGGAUACGGUUAACGGAGCGAAAGCGACGUUCAACCUCAAAAGAAGCAGAGGGGGCUUAGUGGUGGGGUGACUGCGUACCUUUUGUAUAAUGGGUC